rnacentral:lncRNA from 1 species
CCCAAGCCCUAGUCCCUCCCUGUGGCCUCAGGCUCUGACUUGGAGGCCACCCCAUCACUCAAAUGCCCCAGGCAGCUCCCCAGAGGCACAGGAAAUGCAGAGGUGAGGAGAGGGACAAUAUCCAAACAGAGGCACCCAGGUGCAGAGUCCUGGGUCUGCUGUGGUGUGGACAGAGCGUCUCUGAGCCACGGAGCUGGGAAAAUGUCUGGUCCAGCCGCCUCCUCCUCAGGCUGUCUGUCUGUCCAUCCACCCGUGCAGGAACCCAGAAGCCAGAUGGCU